rnacentral:rRNA from 1 species
GACGAACGCUGGCGGCGUGCCUAAUACAUGCAAGUAGGACGCUGAAGGAGGAGCUUGCUUCUCUGGAUGAGUUGCGAACGGGUGAGUAACGCGUAGGUAACCCGCCUGGUAGCGGGGGAUAACUAUUGGAAACGAUAGCUAAUACCGCAUAAUAGUAGAUGUUGCAUGACAUUUGCUUAAAAGGUGCAAUUGCAUCACUACCAGAUGGACCUGCGUUGUAUUAGCUAGUUGGUGGGGUAACGGCUCACCAAGGCGACGAUACAUAGCCGACCUGAGAGGGUGAUCGGCCACACUGGGACUGAGACACGGCCCAGACUCCUACGGGAGGCAGCAGUAGGGAAUCUUCGGCAAUGGACGGAAGUCUGACCGAGCAACGCCGCGUGAGUGAAGAAGGUUUUCGGAUCGUAAAGCUCUGUUGUAAGAGAAGAACGAGUGUGAGAGUGGAAAGUUCACACUGUGACGGUAUCUUACCAGAAAGGGACGGCUAACUACGUG